GGGACUAGCCAUGUGUUCGCACGGAAUCCAUACGGUAGAUUGCCAAACUUGUUGUGUUCAGCAAAAGCCUUCAUUAGGGACUCGUACGCAUUAGUGAACGCGCUGCUUAGCUGCUGCAAUAGAUCCACUAGCGAGUAGCUUCUGAUGGACUGCUUCCCAAUUGUGUAGAACCCUUUGACGCCGGAAACCACAUUUAGCAUCUUUCCAUUACAAACCUUAAUCUCCAA
rnacentral:misc_RNA from 1 species